UUAAUUGGAAAGACCCACUCUUCUCUAUUCCAUACAAUCCCAUAGCCCCAUCUUCCUAUCCAGAUAUCCCACUGGAGUUGUUGGAUCUGGAGACAGUCUUGUGUUCUGGAAGUUUGAUGGCGUUUUGAUUCUGUUAUUUUUUUCCCCCUGGUUGCCAGUCUCUGCGGCCCCAUCUGGAUUUAAGAUAAUCUCAUAGCAUAAUGAAUGUUAUGCUGUUAGCUGCUGCUGGCUUCCUGUGUUUGAGCUGGCAGAGAACUCAACCUUGUAACCGUACUCUUUCUGCAGUGCUCUGCUGUCGUGAGUAUAUCCCUGGGGGAAUUGGGGCAUCACAGCGUUAGGGAGAGGUGCAGAUGCUCCAGCGUUCUCACUUGAUCCACAUCCACUUCAUGGACAAGCAAUCGAGGCCUGCCAGGAUUUGGGACUCAGCAUUUUCUGAGAGAACAGCUCCAUCAUCAGGAAUGUGGUGCAGAGGUGAAGUGGAAGGUUCAGGUUCAGAGAACUGGAUUCUCUUUUCAGUGCUCUGUAACAGCAGGUAGCCAUUAAUUCCUCAUGCUCUCCACUUCUUCACUGUCAAAACUCUGUAAUAACUCUUCUUACCGAUCUUACAGAACUCAUGCCACAUAAAGUUAGCUAGUAUGAGCUAAUAAUGGAGUUGGGCACUUUAAUAAGCUAAGAGCAAAAAUGGAACUCACAGGUACUGAGACAAUUAAAAGGAAAGAGAAGGUUCUGUUGGAUUUAUUGGAUCACUUGGAGAGGAUGCAUUUACAAAUUAGGCUAGCAUGGAGAAAUAAGACAGGGGGUGGUCAAUGACACUGCCUGGCACUGUCAUCGUGAACUGUGAAGAGUCAAGACCGGCUUCUGUCCAGGAAAGGGGCUGUGCUCACCGACUUUUGUGUCUGGAAUCCUUGUCUCGUCAACAGGGAAAAAAGAAGUUAAAGAAAAUGUACAAAGCAAGCAGUAACUUUUUGUGGGAUGCCAAGCUGAUCCUAAACCCUUGCCAUUGUUUACCCUGACAAAGAGCAUGUGAGGCACAUAUAUGUGUACUGAAUGCCCCUUAAUAGGAACCCAGGCCACACAUAUUCCUUCUGAGCAAAAAACGCAUGCAUUUUAUUCAGAAUGUGCCUUGGAACCAACAUCCUGAAUAUUAUGUAACUCUCUGUGGCAUUUUCCUUAAGAGAGUGAUCCCAGAGUAAAGGACUUUAAGAGACAGGAUGCAGAUCCAGACACAUCCUUGAUGUUCACAGUAAAAACUACAGAGAGUUUUUGUGGACCACUCACAGUUCUGUCGUAUUGGUUCUUCAGCUGGAACUACAAGGGAUCAUGAUCAGAAAAUCAGUGUUUUAGGUCUGGGGACAAAGCGCCUUGCUAUAAAUUCUAAGUGUGUACUGUUCAAACUGAUUACUCAUCAAAAUCAUAAUUUUCUAUGUCCAGCCCUUUAAGAUUAAAAGUAUCAAGUGUGGAUGUGUGACUAAUGAGGGUAUCUGUUUUUAAUCUAUCAACAGUAAGAGGUAAGUAAAGCGGUUCAGGGCAACUGAAAUUUACACUUGUGUAUAUAUCUUUUAAACGUUUAAAUCACUGUAAGUGGUCCAUUUUUAAAGAAUAAUAAAAUCUACAACUAACACAAUGGGGGAGGGCUGGACAUUUUUUCAGUUGUGACCCAUGUCUUGAGAUGCUUUCAGAGGAAGAAAAUCCUCGUUCUCUGUCCCACUUACUCUGUCACUGUCUGUUUACCUGAAUUAGAGCAGUAUGACCGAUAGAGGGGAGACAUGUAAUGCUAUUUAACUGUAAAUUUGUUGCAGAACCUAUUGAACAUGAAGUCAAAGUAAACUAUGAUUGAACAACAGAAAUAAAUGGCUGUAAGUACAAUGGAAACACAAAAAUGAAAAUAAAGCAGGCUAUUGUUUUUUUCUGACACUAAUUGUAUAAUAAUACCUAUAUUUAAUGCUGGGACUCAAUUUUGAGUGUCAAGCCAGGAAAACAAUUGAUAUAAAAUAUCGGAUUCGUCAGUGACUUUUUCUCAUUGUUGUUAGUAUUUUUCUAACAAGAAUCUUUGGAAACCAACUCUGCUGCUGAAAACAUGCCCAUCUGAAGAUGUUAUCUCAAGGAUCAAGAUGAAACUCGGGCUCUAGAAAUUGAAUCAAGUCAUGGCUUGAAUGUAAGAAGAGGGUUUAGGCUUGAUCAAUGGUAUUGAUAAAUGAGAAGAGAGGAUGCUUCAGAGGUAUUCUGUUAAACUCUAUGUAGGGUGGGGAUAGAGAAGGGACUGGGUGAGGAAGAGACUGCCUGUGAACCUCCAUCACUGCAGAGACAGAGUGCCUGGGUAACCUGACAGUUCUUUCCAUAUUCAUCGGGUAAGUGUAUUUCUACUUCCCAGUCCCAUGCAUGAUGACAUAGAUUUUUCCCUUUACCACCCCUUCUCAGUGCCUGAACCCUGACUUUACAGCAGCUUUCCAAACGUACUGUGGAAGACAAUAUAUGUGCAGACAAGAAAACCAAGUGCUCAGUUAUGCUUGGCAAUUAAUAUCUUCCAUGGAUAAAUCACACUGCAUUCUAGUUUGUGUGCUUACUUCCUGGGAGACUUUCUUUAUCUCCCUGUAUCCUUAAUAAGGAAGGCACACAUGCCAUAUGAAAAAAAACUAAAGAUACUAAGAUGCUGUAUAAAGAAAAGUGGAUGCAGAGGAAUCAGGAAUAAAACUACUCGGGUUAUGCUUGACCCAGGAGACAAGGACAAAAUAACUUUCUUAGUGUGCAAAACUAAAACGCUCAUGGGUUUUGGAGUGAAGAGAGAACAGAGGAGGAAUAACAAGAUAGAAAAGAAUGAGGGGGCUGGAGUACUUUGUGCUCUUGCUAGAGAGCCCAGGUUCAAAUCCUCACACCUACAAAGCAGCUCACAACUGUCUAGAACUCCAGUAAUAGGGAAUUUGAUGCCCUUUUCUGGCCUUUGGAAGCACCAAGUGUUGAUAUUCUGUUUAACACCGAGCACACACAUCACAUGUACACAAACAUACAGGCACUCACACAAACACAUAAACAACAACAAAUGAAUUCUUUUUUUUUAAAUCAAUUGAUAAGAAAGGUAAAAAGACAUAUUUAAAAGGCACAGCGCGGGCUGGAGAGAUGGCUCAGUGGUUAAGAGCACCGACUGCUCUUCCAGAGGUCCUGAGUUCAAAUCCCAGCAACCACAUGGUGGCUCACAACCAUCUGUAAUAGGAUCUGAUGUCCCCUUCUGGUGUGUCUGAAGACAGCUACAGUGUACUCAUAUACGAAAUAAAUAAAUAAAUCUUUAAAAAAAAAUACAGACAACUGGGGCUGGAGAGAUGGCUCAGUGGUUAAGAGCACCGACUGCUCUUCCAGAGGUCCUGAGUUCAAUUCCCAGCAACCACAUGGUGGCUCACAACCAUCUGAAAUGGGAUCUGGUGCCCUCUUCUGGUGUGCCUGGAGACAGCAACAGUGUGCUCAUAUACAUUAAAUAAAUAAAUAAAUCUUAAAAAAAAAAAAGGCACAGCGCAUGUACCAUCAAACAACAACAACAACAAUAACAACCCUAAAGAUGCUAUUAUGCUGUAUAGAGAAAAGUAGAUGCAAAGGAACCAUAAAUAAAAGUACUUGAUAAGUAUAACAAAAGCUGAAACUGGACAUGGUGGCUCAUUCCUGUAAUUUUAGCAUCCAGAAGCUAUUUAAUGAGUUCCAAGCCAUCCAGAGCUGAGUAAAGAGACCCUGUUCAAAAGAAAUGAGAAAAAUUCUUCAGUGCUUUUGAUAUGUAUAGACUAUCUCGUUUUCUUCUACAAACGCAUGAUUGAACUUGAAAUGACAAGAAAUAGUAGCUUCCGGUUGUCACAAAGCUGGUGUGUGGCAGAGCUGGACAGAGACCUAUGUGGAUGGGUUGCCAAGUCCCUGGUCUUGCCCAGUGUUCUGCAUGCCCUCCUAGGGUACCACAGAGCAUGAGGCAAAUGAGUAUCUUUGCUGGCUGACUGUAGACAGGUUCUGUAGUAUAUUAUAGUAAGAAGAAGUAAGGUUGGAUUUCUACAUCCUUUAACUAGGUGUCAAUCUAGAAUGGAAAUAGACUGAAAAAAAUCAAAAUAUAAGGUAUUGGGCUAUUGGGAUCACUCAGUAUGUCAAGGUACUUGGACAGAAAGCCUGAAUUCCUGAGUUUGAUAAAUGAAUCCCUUAGUGAAAGAGCUGACUUUUAAAAGCUGUUCUCUGAUCUUCAUCACAUUGCUUUGUAUGCUCACGAGUGUAUACCCAUGUGCGUGUACAUGCCACACAUACCACAGACCGCCCCCCUUCACACACACACACACACACACACACACACACACACACACACACAGAGAGAGAGAGAGAGAGAGAGAAUACAACAAAGCUAAGAGAAUAUAGGGAAAUAGUUUUGUGGCUUAGAGAAGAAAAUAUAGGGAAAUAUUUUUGUGACUUGGAGGUAAGAAAAUAUUUCUCAAGAUGCUGAAACACAACCAGUGACCGUGUCUAGUAACUGGUAUAUGGGAAGCUUGACUGCUGCAGAACGAAGCAUCUUGUACUUAGGUAUGCACUGACAUAUUUGAUGGUACUACAAACUGAUGAGGAAAAAAUCAACAGAAUAAGACGUCUAAGAAAAGAUGUACAAGAUAAAUAAAUAAUAAAUACAACAGGGACUUCUAAGACUUAUAACAAGCCAAUAGGAAUACAUAAAACACACUGGUAAUGGAAGAAAUCCAUAUACAGGUACAUGAAAUACAGCUUGAUAUGUGAUUAGAAAGAUGAAAAUUGGAAAGGUGAAUGAUACCAAGUAUGGGUGAAGACCUUGAGCACUGAAAACGCUCAUGUUAGAAAUGUAAUUUUGUAUAUAACUAGACAGCAAGAAAAUAAUAAAAUAAAAUAAAAUAAAUUUAAAAAUUCAUUUAUUCUCUACUCUCUAUGAUUCCAAGGCAGAAAAAUUUCCUCAGGUCCUUUACAAGGUAUACAAAAGGAUGUUUCUUUAUGCCAUUGUAUGUUAAGGGAGUUUGGAAGCUAAAUGGUUGCCCAUCAUUCGGGACUAUAAAAAUAAAAUAGAGCAGAUACACACAUAAAGUAAAAUUAAAGGAACAAAUAAGAUUGACAUGGAAUUAUGUAGACUUGGAAUUAAAGACAAUGUUGAAUCAAAGAAAUGAGGAAUGAAAACAUUUAGAUGAUUCUAGUUUGGAAUAGCAUAAUACUAUUUUUUUAAAGCUAAAUCUGUCUGUUUAAAGGUAGACAGUAUGACUUGGUGAGAGCCAGCGUGGCUAGCAUGUGCGAGGCCUUGGGUUUGUUCCUUGGCAGCAUUUAACAUUGCUAAUAAAUAACUUUCACUGUGGAUAUAUCUAAACAUCUUAAGUAAAUGUGAAGCAAAAAAGAAAUUAGGAACAUGGAUCAGGAGAGGCCAUUAAAUAGAAGAUUUUCUGUAGACAAUGACAGUAGAGCCAUGAGUAAGAGCUGUUGUUCAGACUCAGUCAGAAGACAUAGAAGCCAAUUAGGUGACAUAUCACAAUGGAAAUGGGUGGCAGAGGAUCCAGACACCCAGAGAGCAUGGACACUAUUCUUUUUACAUGUUACAUGCUAUAUGGGGAAGAUAACGCAUGCUAGUAUUAAGAGAGAUUUCUAAAGUUGCAUUCUCCUAAAAGCAGAAAGGUGAACUUUUAAGCAUGGCCGUUUAACCAUUCAUAAAUUGGAGGCAUUGGUGAGAGGGAGCCAUUUUUCCUGAACCAAUAAAGAAAAGUUAAUGAUAGCAACAGUAGGAGAAAGGUUUGGGGAGGGAAAGCAAGCCUGCCUGGAGCCAUUCCCAAACAUCACAAAGGCACUAAUCCCCGUCUUCACCAUUCAGUCCACAGUUCUCUGCGGGCCUGAAAUGUUAAGAAGCAAGCUGUCUACAAGCCAUGCUUCCCAAUAUCUGAGGGAGGCAAAGCUCUGCAAUCUGAGAGAGAAGAAUAAGACAGCUUCAAGAUGUCCAGAGUUCUGGAGCAGUGCAGUAACAAACAGUGCUCUCCCUGUCCUGAGUGUUCUGAUACAGAGACAUCUCACCUGGGGAUACGGAAGUGUCUCCGCUCACUCAGAAACUUAAAACACAUAGAAGCAUACAGAAGGUAGAGCAUGACGACACUGGAGACCACAUUCAGAAUUGCUUAAUGAGCCUCUAGACUCGAAGACACUUCUGCACAGCUGUCAGCCCUCAAGAGAAAGCUUCUUUCUGCAGUGGAUGACGGCUAAUUUAGAGAUUCAUGAUCGGUCAAGGUGCAGAGAGUAAGCGACUACAGAGAGUUCAUCCCUAAGGUACAUCCACCUCCAGCCCUUGGGGGACAUUGUGGAAGAAGGGAUAAAAAGACUGUAAGAGGAAGAGGCUAUGGAAGACUGAAGACAAACAGUAUCUUCUAGAAAUGAUGCAGCUGUGUGCUCAUGGACUCAAAGCUGCCAUGUUGUCAGUUGGUGGAGUGCUUGGAAAGAGAAAGCCACUUUUCUUCAGAGAUGUGGCCCCUGGUAGGUAGGUCCUCAGGCAGCCCUGUGUCCAUGCAUAUGUACAUAUAGAGGCAGCACAACAAGAAGAUGAGAGAUUGAAUGGAGAUGCGUAUGUGAAGGGUCUGUGAGGGGAAGUGGUAUGGAUAUAAUCAAAACAUAGUUUAUACAUGUAUGAACUCAAAGAAUGAAUAAAAAUAUCCAAAUAAAUAAAUGAAAAUAGAGGUAAUUAAAAACUAAAAAACAAAUAGUGUGGAGAGUGACUGAGAACAUCCAACCUGGACCUUUGGUCUCCAUAUGCCCAAGUGCCAUGUGCAUGUGUACCAGAAAGCAAGUAAAUAUGUACACAUCUCCAUGACCAUGUAUAUGACACACUCAGGCACACACACUCAUACACACACACUUUCUUAGGUUAAAUUAGAAACUGUUAGGUAGUUUAAAAACAUCAAUAAUAGACAGUAAAAGAAAAAAAUGUUCCACUAAAGAAAAAGCUGAACAUAAAAAUAUUCCUUAGAGACAUGGCAACACGUCUGAAGGGCAAGCUGAGCUUGGCAUCUAGCAUAACCCUGUUUCUUUAGAUGGUUGUUCUUGCCCUAGCUAAAGGAGCUAGGAUCUUUACUUAUUCAUCCUCUUCAUAGUGGCCAUCAUGUACUGCAGCACAAUCUCCUGGUUAUUACUUAUUUUUCUACCAAGAAUAUAGCCAUUAAGGGCAUGGAGUUCAGUUUGUUGAAUAUACCAGCAAAUAUUUCUAGAGAAUAAUAGGUAUCUAGAAAAUAUGAAUGAAUAGGCAUCUAGAACAGUGAAUAAACGUGUGCCAAAUUCAUCCGGUUAAGGAAGCGAGCAACUAGACCCAGCUGCAUCCUACAUGAGAAUAAAAGAACAGGGAUCUUGUAACAGAUUAAUCACUUAAGUGGAAGUUAGAUUUAGGUACAAAGGACAAAGAAGUUGAAGUAGUAUGUAGUAUGCCGAUGCUUGGGCAUUGGGUAAAUAUUUUUUGAGGAACAAGAUCAGAGAGUUCAGGUCCAGUAAAAGGAUUAGCAAUGGACUUGCUCCUGUUGAACAGGUUUGGCACAGGCUUUAAGGAGAGGGCUCACGAGGUACCUAGCCUUGGCAUUACAGAUGAAAGGUCUGAUGGUCAUUCUGGAUUUCACAUGGAUCCUCACACGUGUGAGACUGUCUAAAACUGUGUACACUGCUUCUUAGAAAGUAGUUCUAACCAAAGACAUCUCAGGACCUCGUCUUAGAGAGAAGAUGGAAUUUUGCAGGUCACAUCCUGGAACAUAUUCUGAUAUCAAAGACCUUGUUGACCAUGUUUUAUAAAACCACAGAUAUAUCUUUGAAAGAACUAGUUACAAAUUUGCAUGUACCCCCCCCCCCCCAGAAGUGACAGGACUCAGGUAUGGAGACAUGGUGUGGUAGAGGAACUGAACUUGUAAUGGCAUUUGGCAAUGCCAGUGUCACCUCUCCUCCUGAGGCUGCUUUUUCUACCUGGGCAGGACAUGAGCACUCUAAGAUCCAUGACAGUGCAGGACUUAAGACUAUGCUCUAUGGUGAACACACCCUAGUUCAAAAGAACAGUGACACGCUGGAGAAUUGCACCUCUAAUACAUCAGUCCAGGAAGCAGGGCCUUACAGACAGCAUAGUGGUAGGCACUGGAGCAAAGAAAAGCCAGUGAGCAUGUCAGACACUUGCUGUCCAGACCUGAAAUUUUUCCAUGUCCCAGAGGUAAGGCAGGUAUGAAUCUGGGAUUGACUGAGUGGCAGGAUUGUUAAUGUUGAUAUUCAGAUAGGAAGUAAAGUAAGCAGACUGCAAACCCCAUGGAGCUGCACAAUUUUAUCUCUUAGACCCAUGGCAUCUGGUACUAUUGGUGUUUUUGGAAGGAGGAAUUGAAGGAUAGAAAGAAGGGAAGAAGAAAGAAAGGAGGGGAAAAAGAAGAGAGAGACACACAAAGUAGGAAAGACAAAGCUGCAGGCUGCUUCUCUGAAAUGUCUGAUCCUCUAGCCUUUAAGAGGAUGGUAGUCAUCAACAUCUCAGCUGUAACUUCAAGACAGAACUGUUACGUUUUUGGUCAUGGAGAACUGAAUAAGGCCCAUGCUUGAGGGAGGUGUGUGUCAAUUAGGUUAUAUCAGCAAGUAUGCACAUCUGCCAGAGGUAAAAGACACAUGAGGAAGAAAUUACUUGAUCUAGUUCUCACUUACAGCGCAUCCAUCACUGUUGUGUGAUCCAUGGAGUAACAUUUCACAGGCUGCAGAAAGGACUGAACUAGUGAUAAGCAAGUUCUAGCACACAAGAGCACCCCCUUUCCAUGGGAUGUGCACACUCAUUAGAACAGGAGCAACAUUUUUUUUUUGAGGACAAGAUAGAAAAGUCACAGAGGAAGAAAAAUUGCAAGGCUUCAAAAAUCAAAGACAAUUUUGUCUAGAAAACUGCACUCUGUCUAGGGUCCUUGCAUGUGUACUCUCACAACACACACAAAUACCCCUUGCCAUUACAUGGUUAUCUUGGGUUGUAAUUAAUGGUAAGGAAACCAACAUUCUUGUGUUCUCUUUCCUCUGUACAAUUCUAUCACCUUUGGGUCGAGUUCAUCUUGUGCACAGAUAUGUGACCACGUGCAAUUUUCUUUGUAUGUGUACCUACAUGUGGGAUAAUCAAGCGAGCUUAAUAUAUUUAAGAAAAUAAAAGUAAAACAAGAUCCUU